AUGGUUUAAGAGUCAGGAUUUAAAAAAAAAAAACCAGCUGGAUUACAGUUCUGCUACUCAAGCACUUUCAAAGACAGAAGUAUCUGACAUUUACUGUACUUGUUAGUAAAAGUAGAUUUAUUUUAUAAAAUGUAUUUAAGUAUUAAAAGUAAAAGUAUUUUUUUUUAAAAAUUGAACGAUUAGAAUUUCAAAAACAUUUAUUGAGAGGUGACCAUCCCAAAAUUUCUUUCUAAAGGCCGUGAUGAAUUUAAUGUUAUAUUAACCCUCUGAGGCCGACACCCGCUCUGGAGCGGGCGUACACAUGAUGCAUUGAAAGGUCUUCUGUUAUAAAUAUGACAGCAUGCUGAGCAUUCAUUUCAACUGGGUUGGAUAGCACGGACUUCAAACUUAAUAUAAAACGUGUUUUUUUAAUUGAUAUUGUUGUUAUUGACUUCCAAAUAAAACAAGGUUUAUGGUACAUAAUUUUCGUCAUCAUUUUGUGCACGUUUUUACGCAUCGCUGUGCAUUCAGUGAACGUUUUGUGACCAGAAAGUGACCGAUUUCAAAAUGACACAGAUUUUUCAGAUUUUAUUAAACGCACCACAUUUCCAAAGCAGCCAAUCAAAAACGUUUCUCAGAAAAAAACUUGAGGAAAGCGAGCAGAAGCCGCCCGGGAGGAGAAAGUUUUGGAGAGAGGAAGAGGACUGAGCAUAGUGGACAAUUUGGAUUCCGGAUUUAGCUAGCACUGUUUUUUGUUUGCCUGUGUAAGUGUGUUAGAGUGCAUAAGUUUGUGUGCAGUGUGUGUAGUAGUUUUAGUCUGUCUGUCGACAUGGAUCGUCGUUAUAUGACGGCCGAACAAGCUCUGCGUACUUUUAUGAGCUUGGAGGAGGAUGAUGAUGGCGGCGUGCACGGAGAUGAAUCGGACACGUCGGAGUUGAGGUGGAUGACCCGUCAGUUUUUUUUUCUGUGAAGAGAAUGAGGAAGCGGAGGAGGAGGACGUGGUGACAGCGUUGCGGAGGACUCGCUCUGGUCCAGAUGAGGUCUACAUCAAAUGUCCAGGACAGGAGACAAAAUCUUUUUUUUGUCUGUUCUAACUCCAGGGAAGAUAAGAGACAGGUUCAGAGUCACCAUGUGGAACAUUCACCU